AGCCAGUUGGUGGGGUAAAGGCCUACCAAGGCUACGAUGUUUAGCUGGUCUGAGAGGAUGAUCCCCCACACUGGGACUGAGACACGGCCCAGACUCCUACGGGAGGCAGCAGUAGGGAAUUUUCGGCAAUGGGCGCAAGCCUGACCGAGCAACGCCGCGUGAGUGAUUAAGGCCUUCGGGUUGUAAAGCUCUGUUGUAAGGGAAGAACAUUCAGGAUAGGAAAUGAUCUUGAACUGACGGUACCUUACCAGAAAGCCACGGCUAACUACGUGCCAGCAGCCGCGGUAAUACGUAGGGGGCGAGCGUUGUCCGGAAUUAUUGGGCGUAAAGGGCGCGUAGGCGGUUUAUUAAGUCUAUGGUGAAAGUGCGGGGCUCAACCCCGUAUGGCCAUAGAAACUGAUAGACUUGAGUGCAGGAGAGGGCAAUGGAAUUCCAUGUGUAGCGGUAAAAUGCGUAGAUAUAUGGAGGAACACCAGUGGCGAAGGCGGUUGCCUGGCCUGUAACUGACGCUGAAGCACGAAAGCGUGGGGAGCAAAUAGGAUUAGAUACCCUAGUAGUCCACGCCGUAAACGAUGAAUACUAAGUGUUGGAGAAAUUCAGUGCUGCAGUUAACGCAAUAAGUAUUCCGCCUGGGGAGUACGGUCGCAAGAUUGAAACUCAAAGGAAUUGACGGGACCCCGCACAAGCGGUGGAUUAUGUUGUUUAAUUCGACGCAACGCGAAGAACCUUACCAGGCCUUGACAUACUCAGCAAAACCCUAGAGAUAGGGUGGAGGUUAUCUGGGAUACAGGUGGUGCAUGGUUGUCGUCAGCUCGUGUCGUGAGAUGUUGGGUUAAGUCCCGCAACGAGCGCAACCCUUGUCUUUAGUUACCAUCAUUCAGUUGGGGACUCUAGAGAGACUGCCGGUGAUAAACCGGAGGAAGGUGGGGAUGACGUCAAAUCAUCAUGCCCCUUAUGGCCUGGGCUACAAACGUAAUACAAUGGCGUAUACAAAGGGAUGCGAAAGGGCGACCUGGAGCAAAACUCACAAAGUACGUCUCAGUUCGGAUUGUAGGCUGCAACUCGCCUGCGUGAAGUCGGAAUCGCUAGUAAUCGCAGGUCAGCAUACUGCGGUGAAUACGUUCCCGGGCCUUGUACACACCGCCCGUCA
rnacentral:rRNA from 1 species